rnacentral:tRNA from 1 species
UUUAUUGUAGUCUGUAGCCUCUUUGGCUUCGCAACCAAAGGGUCGCGGGUUCGAAUCCCGCCUAUAAUC